GAUGAACGCUGGCGGCGUGCUUAACACAUGCAAGUCGAACGGAAAGGCCCAAGCUUGCUUGGGUACUCGAGUGGCGAACGGGUGAGUAACACGUGGGUGAUCUGCCCUGCACUUCGGGAUAAGCCUGGGAAACUGGGUCUAAUACCGGAUAGGACCACUUCUUGGAUGUUGUGGUGGAAAGUUUUUUCGGUGUGGGAUGAGCUCGCGGCCUAUCAGCUUGUUGGUGGGGUAAUGGCCUACCAAGGCGUCGACGGGUAGCCGGCCUGAGAGGGUGUACGGCCACAUUGGGCCUGAGAUACGGCCCAGACUCCUACGGGGGGCAGCAGUGGGGAAUAUUGCACAAUGGGCGCAAGCCUGAUGCAGCGACGCCGCGUGGGGGAUGACGGCCUUCGGGUUGUAAACUCCUUUCGCUAGGGACGAAGCGUUUUGUGACGGUACCUGGAGAAGAAGCACCGGCUAACUACGUG
rnacentral:rRNA from 1 species